UCACCUUUGCACUUCAAAGCGUUCACAAUAAUUAUAUGCAAGUAAUAUACAUAUGGAUAUACCAUGAUGCAAUCUAAUACUCAACCAUGUCAUAGCAUUUUCAAUUAUAUACAUAUACAUACAUAUAUAUAUAUAUAUAUAAUAAUGCAUAAAAUGCAUAAGCUGUAACGCCCUACUCCCGAACUAUUUAUUUUCGGGAAUAAUUAUCGGUGAUAAGCCCAAUUAGACACUAGUUUAAUUAACUAUCAUUACUUACAUUUCCUUACUUCAAUUUCUUGAUUCUUCGCACAUUGAUUUAUGAACAACAUUUAACCACCAAAUCAUAAGUUUAAAUCUCACAUAUUCCACCAAUCUCUUUCACAUUGCUUAAUUCCCC
rnacentral:lncRNA from 1 species